rnacentral:rRNA from 1 species
CAAUAGCGUAUAUUAAAGUUGUUGCGGUUAAAAAGCUCGUAGUUGGAGUUCUGCCAGGUGCCGUCUGUCCGCCCCAGUGGUGAGUACGUGACGCGCAUUUGGCCCUUUCAAGGGGAGCGUAUCUGCACUUUACUGUGUGGUGCGGGAUCCUUGACUUUUACUUUGAGGAAAUAGGAGUGUUCCAAGCAGGCUCUCGUCGUGCACAGCUCAGCAUGGAAUAAUAGCAUUGGACCUCGAUUCUAAGCUGUUGGUUGCCAGAAGCGAGGUAAUGAUGAAGAGGGAUAGUUGGGGGCAUUCGUAUUUAACUGUCAGAGGUGAAAUUCUUGGAUUUGUUAAAGGCGGACUACUGCGAAAGCAUCUGCCAUGGAUGUUUUCAUUGA